ACGAACGCUGGCGGCGUGGAUAAGACAUGCAAGUCGAACGGGAGAAUUGCUAGCUUGCUAAUAAUUCUCUAGUGGCGCACGGGUGAGUAACACGUGAGUAACCUGCCUCUUAGUGGGGGAUAGCCCUGGGAAACCGGGAUUAAUACCGCAUACGAUUGAAAGAUCAAAGCAGCAAUGCGCUAGGAGAUGGGCUCGCGGCCUAUUAGUUAGUUGGUGAGGUAACGGCUCACCAAGGCGAUGACGGGUAGCCGGUCUGAGAGGAUGUCCGGCCACACUGGAACUGAGACACGGUCCAGACACCUACGGGUGGCAGCAGUCGAGAAUCAUUCACAAUGGGGGCAACCCUGAUGGUGCGACGCCGCGUGGGGGAAUGAAGGUCUUCGGAUUGUAAACCCCUGUCAUGUGGGAGCAAAUUAAAAAGAUAGUACCACAAGAGGAAGAGACGGCUAACUCUGUGCCAGCAGCCGCGGUAAUACAGAGGUCUCAAGCGUUGUUCGGAAUCACUGGGCGUAAAGCGUGCGUAGGCUGUUUCGUAAGUCGUGUGUGAAAGGCAAGGGCUCAACCCCUGGAUUGCACAUGAUACUGCGAGACUAGAGUAAUGGAGGGGGAACCGGAAUUCUCGGUGUAGCAGUGAAAUGCGUAGAUAUCGAGAGGAACACUCGUGGCGAAGGCGGGUUCCUGGACAUUAACUGACGCUGAGGCACGAAGGCCAGGGGAGCGAAAGGGAUUAGAUACCCCUGUAGUCCUGGCAGUAAACGGUGCACGCUUGGUGUGCGGGGAAUCGACCCCCUGCGUGCCGGAGCUAACGCGUUAAGCGUGCCGCCUGGGGAGUACGGUCGCAAGAUUAAAACUCAAAGAAAUUGACGGGGACCCGCACAAGCGGUGGAGUAUGUGGCUUAAUUCGAUGCAACGCGAAGAACCUUACCUGGGCUUGACAUGUAAUGAACAACAUGUGAAAGCAUGCGACUCUUCGGAGGCGUUACACAGGUGCUGCAUGGCCGUCGUCAGCUCGUGUCGUGAGAUGUUUGGUUAAGUCCAGCAACGAGCGCAACCCCUGUUGCCAGUUACCAGCACGUCAAGGUGGGGACUCUGGCGAGACUGCCCAGAUCAACUGGGAGGAAGGUGGGGACGACGUCAGGUCAGUAUGGCCCUUAUGCCCAGGGCUGCACACGUACUACAAUGCCCAGUACAGAGGGGGCCGAAGCCGCGAGGCGGAGGAAAUCCUGAAAACUGGGCCCAGUUCGGACUGUAGGCUGCAACCCGCCUACACGAAGCCGGAAUCGCUAGUAAUGGCGCAUCAGCUACGGCGCCGUGAAUACGUUCCCGGGUCUUGUACACACCGCCCGUCACAUCAUGGAAGCCGGUCGCACCCGAAGUAUCUGAAGCCAACCGCAAGGAGGCAGGGUCCUAAGGUGAGACUGGUAACUGGGAUG
rnacentral:rRNA from 1 species